rnacentral:sRNA from 1 species
GAAAAACAAAAAAGGGGGAAGAAAGGG